AGCAGCCGCGGUAGCUCCAAUAGCGUAUAUUAAAGUUGUUGCUCGUAGUUGAACUUCGGGAUUUGUCCAUUGGUCAGGCUUAACUGUCUGUACUGGUGUGACGAAUUCCUACCUUCUGAGGAAUCUUCAUGUCAUUUAGUUGGUGUGUGGGGAAAUCAGGACUGUUACUUUGAAAAAAUUAGAGUGUUUAAAGCAGGCUAAUGUCUGAAUACAUUAGCAUGGAAUAAUAAAAUAGGACGGUUGGUUCUAUUUUGUUGGUUUCUAGGAUCACCGUAAUGAUUAAUAGGGAUAGUUAGGGGUAUUAGUAUUCAAUUGUCAGAGGUGAAAUUCUUGGAUUUAUUGAAGACUAACUACUGCGAAAGCGUUUGUCAAGGAUGUUUUCAUUAAUCAAGAACGAAAGUUAGGGGAUCGAAGACGAUCAGAUACCGUCGUAGUCUUAACCAUAAACUAUGCCGACUAGGGAUCGGACGAAGUUAAUUUUUAAAUGUACUCGUUCGGUACCUUACGGGAAAACCAAAGG
rnacentral:rRNA from 1 species